AGUGAACGCUGGCGGUAGGCCUAACACAUGCAAGUCGAACGGCAGCACAGUAAGAGCUUGCUCUUACGGGUGGCGAGUGGCGGACGGGUGAGGAAUACAUCGGAAUCUACUUUUUCGUGGGGGAUAACGUAGGGAAACUUACGCUAAUACCGCAUACGACCUACGGGUGAAAGCAGGGGAUCUUCGGACCUUGCGCGAUUGAAUGAGCCGAUGUCGGAUUAGCUAGUUGGCGGGGUAAAGGCCCACCAAGGCGACGAUCCGUAGCUGGUCUGAGAGGAUGAUCAGCCACACUGGAACUGAGAAACGGUCCAGACUCCUACGGGAGGCAGCAGUGGGGAAUAUUGGAAAAUGGGCGCAAGCCUGAUCCAGCCAUACCGCGUGGGUGAAGAAGGCCUUCGGGUUGUAAAGCCCUUUUGUUGGGAAAGAAAAGCAGCAGGUUAAUACCCCGCUGUUCUGACGGUACCCAAAGAAUAAGCACCGGCUAACUGCGU
rnacentral:rRNA from 1 species